rnacentral:rRNA from 1 species
UACAGAGGCCUCGAGCGUUAGGCGGAAUCACUGGGCUUAAAGCGUGUGUAGGCGGACUUCUAAGUACCUUGUGAAAUCCCACGGCUCACCCGUGGAACUGCUCGGUAUACUGGUCGUCUUGAGCCUUCUAGGGGCGAGUGGAACAAAUGGUGGAGCGGUGAAAUGCGUAGAUAUCAGGAGGAACACCUAUUGCGAAGGCAGCUCGCUGGGACGUAACUGACGCUGAGACGCGAAAGCGUGGGGAGCAAACAGG